GAUACAUACAUAGAGGAAGAGAGAUAAAUUGAUAGAAAGAUUGACAGUUAUAUAUAUAGAUUUAAAGAGAGAGAGAGAGAGAGAGAGAGAGAGAGAGAGAGAGAGAUAAAUGAACGACACCUUAACCAAGUUGUAACAAGUUAAAGCGAGAGAGUAAAUUCUAUCACUUGGUUGUUAACCAACAGAACUCAAACCACAGCAACACUAAACGGCAGCAACAAAACACAGCAACCGUAUCUUCAAAACAGACACCAACCAACUCCAACAGUCAAAAGAACGCUUACUAAAAGAAAGGAGGAAAAAAAAAAAAAGAAAAAUCAGGCAAAGCACCACACCAUAACUGUAGUUGCACACACCUCCGCCUUUUUUCUUCUUAGUAAUUGCAAUUAGUAAAAAGCAAUUACCCACACACAAUAACUUCCAGUAAAAAAAAUAUAUAUAAUGAAUAAGCAUGAAAAAAAUAACUGUUUUUAAUAUAAGCGCAAGACUUGAAAUUUGAAGGAGGGAAAAAAAGAGAGAGAGAGAAAGAGAAAGGGAAAGAGGAAGUUAGUCGAUUAAAUCGGGCCCCGAAUAGUUGAUUGGUACUGUUAUUUUAUCGAUCCGAUCUCCUCUUCUCUGGAAAAAGAGAUGAAAGGCGAAGUUCAUCUCGGCUGGAAUUGAACUCAGACAUGUGAAGUGAAGUGGUGUUGGUGUGCCGUCGCUAAAAAUAAAUAAAUAAAUAAAUACCGCAUGGCAAUUUUUUUUUUUUCCAACGCUCUAAGAACGAUUCUUUUACUAUUAUAAAAACUCAGAGAAAUACGAAACACAAAAAUAAAUAAAUGAAAUAAAAUAAAAAUAAAAACCAAACGCCAAUAAUAUCAACCAGUAGCAGCAGCAGCAACAAUAACAACAAUAAUAACACGAGCAUUAGCAACAACAUCACAACACAACAAACCAGCCUACAACAGUAACAACAUCAAUAACCUUAUAACAUCACCACCACAACCACCACCACCACUAUCAUUACGACGGCUACCACUGUUGCUUCACAACCGGACAUUACUCUCAACUUUUACUUUGAUUUCUUAGGAAUAUCUCCCUCCUCUCAUUCUUUUUCACUUUUAUUUAUGUAUUUCAUUUUCCCCCUCACUAUUUUCAAUUUUCAUUUUAUCUGUUAAGCGAGAAACCAGGAACUUAUCUAUCAACAUCGGCUGGAUUGAACGGGCUUUUUACUUACCAUUUGAAAGGAUUAUCGCUAUAUUAUAAUUUAAUAUUAAUUUAAUUGUUAAGAAUAUUGCACACACACACACACAUAUACACACACACACACUCACACACACCAAACACACGUACACUAUAUAUAUAUAUAGGCAUAUACACACACACACACACGUAUAUACAUGCACAUACGUAUACACUAACAACAGCUUCCUCCUUACACAUUAACCCUCCCUCACUCAUACAAACGCACGCACACACACACACACAGAUAUAUAUAUAUAUACACACACGCGCGCUCACAUACAUACAUACGAAUACGUAGAUCCACACAUACAUAAAUUCACAAAUACAUACACAUACACAUAUAUGUUUUUAUAUUCAUUCUAUGUGCUAAACAUUGGAGACUAUCUACGACGAUGAUGAACCGGUGUAAAGACACCAAGAUACCCCCCCAGAGGGGUGAAAAGGGG
rnacentral:lncRNA from 1 species